UACGUAGGGGGCAAGCGUUGCUCGGAAUCACUGGGCGUAAAGGGUGCGUAGGCGGGGCUUUAAGUCAGGGGGGAAAUCCUGGAGCUCAACUCCAGAACUGCCUUUGAUACUGAGGAUCUUGAGUUCGGGAGAGGUGAGUGGAACUGCGAGUGUAGAGGUGAAAUUCGUAGAUAUUCGCAAGAACACCAGUGGCGAAGGCGGCUCACUGGCCCGAUACUGACGCUGAGGCACGAAAGCGUGGGGAGCAAACAGG
rnacentral:rRNA from 1 species